AAACCGUUCGGGGGAAAACGGACAGAGCCCGUGAAUCCGGACGGUAGAAUUCAGAAUCGAUGGCGGCAACGUCGUCGGUUCGAUAUUUCUGCCGUCGAUACGGACGUCGCGACCCGUUUGGUGUCGGUCUGAGGAGACGCGUUUUACGUUCGUCGACGCGUCGUCUGCCUCGGUAGGCGCGCGUUGCGAGUACGCGUUCGUAUUCCGGCCGGCUCGCCAGACGGUAUGUCGAUGGUGGCCGUGGCGGUCGUUCGCUUCACGGCGAUCAGCGCCGUUCACGGUACCGGUUUGCGACGAAUCUUCGGGCCUCUUUCCGA
rnacentral:rRNA from 1 species